UACGUAGGGUGCGAGCGUUGCCCGGAUUUAUUGGACGUAAAGGGCGCGUAGGCAGCUCUGCACGUCCGUUGUGAAAUCGCCCGGCUCAACUGGGCGGGGUCAGCGGAUACGGCGGAGCUUGAGCAAGCUAGGGGGCAAUGGAAUUCCCGGUGUAGUGGUGGAAUGCGUAGAUAUCGGGAGGAACACCAGUGGCGAAGGCGGUUGCCUGGGGCUUUGCUGACGCUGAUGCGCGAAAGCGUGGGGAGCGAUCCGG
rnacentral:rRNA from 1 species